ACCUAUAAUAGAUGCCCCCCAUAGGGGGUCUCGCAGCGCAUCCACCGCGACGUCCAUUUUCUAACCGUAGGAUGGAUCUUACUUUGCAUCUCAGCAGUCUAUAUUUUGACUGCGCGGGGAUAUAAAAUGAGCCUGUGAAAACCCUAGCCGCCUUUUCCCCACUCGCCCAAUCCCUGCAUCCUCUUCCUCCCCCAAUCGCCCGCUCCUCCUCUUCUUCCCCGCAGCGCUCCACCUCCCACCUCUCUCCUCCCGCCCCUCCCUCUCCCUCGGAGACCGAUGGCGCCGGCCCUUGCACGUGCCAUCUGCGUCGCCGUCCCCUCCAUCUCCCCGUAGAUCAGGCGCACCAGGACGAGCAAGAAGCCCUCAACAUGAUGCCAUUUCCCCGGCCGCCGGAGACGCGGAGGCGGAAGAGCGGCGGCUGGCCGGCCCUGGAUUACUGCAGGUUGCACCAGCCGUGGGCGACGGUAGCCCGCACAAGCAGCAGAGGACAUCCCCCCACAUCAAGCUCACAUCUGGAGUUGCAGCCAAUGAUGCGAAGGGGAGCAACCUAGGCAUGCCCGACCCCGACCAGGAUGACGCAUAACAAAAGGUUGCUUGUCGAGUGUUGCAGCAAGGGUGUUUCAAGAGAUGGGUGAUAAAUUCAGAACAUGAGGCUGUUGCUUUUGUGUUAUUCUUCAUUCAUCAUGUGGCCUUGUUAGAAAUGGCUUCGUUAAAUGAUCAUGUGUUGCCUCCAAGCUGCGUCAGAGGGUGACUCCGAAGGCUGCCACCAAAGAUAUGAAAGAGGACAAUGAGCAAGGGUAAUUUCCUUCUCUUCCUCUUGAUCGCUCACUCUUUCUCUAUUUAAUCCCCAUGGAUUCUCAGCUUUGUUUUAUAUUCAUAGGCCAGAUUGGCAUUCAUGUUAGCAUGUAUGUGCCUUCUCAGUGGCAUGGUAACUGAAAUUCCACUUUCUAAUGAUUUAUUUGUUUGUUGCUAGAUUUUUUCAUUGCAUCUAAAUAUCCAAUAGCAAUGCCAAUGUAUAUAUAUUUUAUAUAGAUAAAUCUUAUUCCAGGUUAGGCAUUUUGUUGGCAGGAUCAUGUUUUUUUUUCGGUGGGAGCCAAAAAUGUUUCUAUCAAACUCAUACAAGGUACCUGACUCACCUUCUCACAUAAUAUCUAUUGAAAGAACAAUGAACAUUGAAGAGUAGGCCGCAGUUCAUACCCAUUUUUGUAUUUUCCUAAACAAAAAUGUAAAAGUAAUCCAGUAGGACUCCGUUGAAUUUUAUUGGCAUGCUAAGGUUAGUACAAUGCCAAUUUAUCUUUGCUGUGUUGUAAAAGUUUGAAGCUGAUUAAUUAGUACCGUGGGCUGUUUUAGAUUUUUUUUUUGUCUCAGCUUGGCAAAUCAAUCCUGAUUCUAAAUUAGUUCAAAGGUGUUUAUGUUUAUCUUUGCCUAGAGUUAUGUGUAUUGAGGUGCUAUUAUAUACCUAGAACAAAAUCCAGGUGUUUAUGUUUAGCUUUUCCUACAACUUUUUUUGUAUUUGCAUAUAGUUGAUUAGUUAGUAUCGGCGUGACUGUUAUCAAGCUGCUAUAUAGACCUGGAAUAAAGCAAGCUUGUUUUUUAAUGGUUCUUGAGAGCAUGUUUCGUUGAGUCGGUACAAAUAGAUUUGUUUAUCUAUUCUAUAAUGUUGCUAUGUACAAAACUUUAUAGCUAAGGACAGUAGUAUAUAGGCAGGGAGAUUUAUUUUUUACAGUUUCAUAAGAGUUAGAAGUUUGUUGGUUAUAUCAGAGUUACUAUGUGCUUCGGCUUCUUGUGGUCAUAUUUUAUUGUUCAGAUGCAGAUUCCAGGCCGGAUUAGAUUCAUGUAUAGCUUAGUGCUGAUGAUUGUGCUACUAUGUUCCAGUCAAACAAGCUGUAACAGAGGUCUCCUAUAUUAUUAUGAUCAUGUAGCUACUAGAAUCUCAGAUUAACUGUUAUGCCAGCAGAGGAAAAUCUCAUACAGUUUUUCCCGUUUGCUCACAUCUUCUGACCAAUAGCUGAUCACUUAUUCCUUUGUCCUUUCUGUGAUAAUGUUAAUCUGGCGACCACUUGUUAUUCCUCUGUCCAUUGUAUUUUUUUGUCUGGUCUAUUGUUUGCAAACUCUUCGGCUCGAAAUCUUUCAUAUAUCUGUCGAAAGCUUUGUUUCCUGGACUAAACAAAAGCGGGAGCGUUUUUUGUAUUCAGGUUUGGAUUGUCUUUACUGCUGACUGGUGGAACUUAUGGACUACCAGAAAUAAGUUCAUUUUUUUAGAAAAGAUGUCUUAAGAAUCCCACUGAUGCUAUCUAUCAAAUAUUAUUUCUUCUGCAGCAAUGUGUUGUUUUAUGGAGCAAGACGAAUAGGCUGAUAUUCCAGGGGGUGUUGCAGCAUUCUAAGAAGACUGUCUCGAGAUUGAAAAGCAUGUCCUUUAACUGUUUGAAUGUCCUAUGUAUUCUGAACUUGGUGGUUUUGGUCUGGCAGUGGUGUUUUAAUAGUGUGUUAGACCUGCUAUUUCUUCACGUUGCUCUUCAUUUGUAAACGCUGGUGUUCCCAGCUUAUGUAAGACUCUGUCUGCUUCCUUAUAAAGCAGGGCUAAAUGCAUUUGAUGGGAAAAUGUCUGACUAGGGGAUAGGAGUGAGUGACUAAGACCGAUUGGCGUCCAAGUGAAGACUUGAUAAGUUUACUAGGCGAAGCUGCCAUGAACAUAUUGAACUGGACAUGUUCAUUCUGUUAUUUUGAUAAGAAAUAUUGUUGAUCAUGCUGCACAAUUUUAAUUUUUUGAAAGCUCCACCAUAUACCAUAUGAAACUCAAUUUGUCCAUCAAAUAUUUGUCUACGCUUUCUCAUCAUUGGUAACUUGUGGUUUGUGCUGGAUCUAGGAAAAUAGAUACGGAGAGACUGAAGAUUAUAUACAUGAAGUGGGUGUUGCCAUGGCAGAUUGUGAGCUACUACAGAUUAAGCACUUCUUUUCAGUUUUCCUUUCUUAAGAAUAACCACCAUUUAUUCAUACCAUGUUUAAUAUGAGGUAGUUUGUCUUCAUGGAAGCCAGGGAUUCAUAUAGAUCAGCGGAACAUUGGUAUAGAAUUGGCUUCACUGAACUGAGGUCUCAAGUCGCACCUCCUCUAGAUAAUGGUCCUCUCUUUGGGCACAAUGCACAACCCUCCAGUAUUCUUAUUACACGAAUUGGAACUAACACUCCUCUUUAAGUCUGAAGUAAACAAUGUAAAUCCUUAGAAUUAACAGAGUAAUCUAAAUCGUGCAUGCAGAUUUUCUAAUACCAUUUAUUGUUCAUCGAACAAGAUGGUGUAGGAUGAUGGUAUCAGAGGUGGCUGUGCAGAUCAAGCCAACGACCGUGGAGACACAUAUAUUUAGCAGAUACAAGGCAUGCCAACAUUUAAAACUCCUUCAUUACCCCGUUGGUAUAUCAAUAUCGACAUUCCAGAAAUGACAGCCAUCUGACGGAGGUAUAUCAUGAUUUCUGGCACAAUUAAGAGACCACUGUAUCUGAUCUACAUUGGCCCGGACCUUCCAACUCAAGAAGGUUAGAGAUUUUGCUUCGGAGUACAAUAUGAGAAAUAUGUUGCUUUCCUAAUUAGAAAGGUUGUGGCAGAAGAAUACAUGCAUCUACUAGCUAUAUUUUCUUGAGACUUUCGUAUAUGUAACAAUCAUGUAUAUAUGGCAGUGUUCUUUUUUCUAGCUUAAGACUACCAUUGAUGUGUAUUUCCCUGUGCUUUCCAAUAUAACCUUUAUGUAUGUAGGAGCAAUGUGAUUUGCUCUUACUAAGACUACCAUUGGUAUGUAUUUCUAUGUGUUUCCAGAGAU